AUGGAAGGAGUGGCGAAGUCGAUCAUGGCGCCAAUGGAGGUGGCUGGAGCAGGGGAAGAGGAGGCCAUGGCGGUGGCGGCGGGGAGGAGGGGCUGCAUCCGGUCGACGCGGGGCCCGUGGACGGUGCGGCGGCAGGCGCGGGGCGGCGCGGUGAAGACGUCGCUCCGGCACCCGACGCCGCGGGAGCGGGAGAACAACCGGCAGCGGGAGCGGCGCCGGCGGCAGGUGGCCACCAGGAUCUACGCUGGCCUGCGCGCCAACGCCGGGUACGCGCUGCCCAAGCACGCCGACCAGAACGACGUGCUCCGGGCGCUCUGCGCCGAGGCGGGCUACCUCGUCGACGACGAAGGCAACGUCACGCGGUGCCACGAGCGUUCUUCAGGCGCCGGCACCGGCGGCAGCUCCGACCAUCCGCAGCCGUCCUCGCACAGCGGGGCGACGGAGGCAACAGCGGGGGACAUCCACCAGCCGCUGCCGGAGGCGGAGCCGAAGCACAAGAUAUCACUCGAGCUCACCCUCUCCUUCACCUACAUGUAG
rnacentral:rRNA from 1 species